AUAGUACUCCCUCUGUUCAGAAUUACUCGUUCAAAAAAUAAAUGUAUCUAGAUGUAUUUUAGUUGUAGAUACAUUUAUUUUUAUGACAAGUAAUUCCAAACGGAGGGAGUAGUAU
rnacentral:pre_miRNA from 1 species